GGAGUUGGUAUCUCAGUGGUAAAGUUCAUGCUUUCUCUGUAUGAUAUCCAGGGUUCAAUCCCCAGCUUCUCCU